GGAAGUAGAAACAUUUGUUUACAUUGCAGGUAGAGGAAAUCGAGUUUGUUCACGGGAAUAUAUCGUGCAAUUAAAGGCUUCAAGCGCUGAUUUUACUUCGAGAAGGUAGGACAGGAUGGCAGGUACUUUGGGAAUGCCGGAGUCAGCUUACUCCUGCCUUUUUUGGUGUUUAAAUACCCACCGACCGAGAGACAGUGCGACUCUUAGCUGACACACAAGAGAGGGGUUGUUACCGGAGCUGGCGUAGAAUUCGGGACUUCCUCUGGCCCAAAGGAUAUUAAAAGCUACUCCAGAUGAGGACGGAAGGGACACCUGAAUGUGUGUCGUGCGGGAGCUGUGGCUCGUUCCCGCGGCGUCUGAACCAUGCUCUGAGCUAGCCUGUGUUUCGGGAAUGAGGCAUUUCUUACGGCUUCUUGCGUAUGAUGAUUCGGUUCCAGAGUCGGAGAUUGCAAUAGACAUUUGCAAGGACAGCACCGGCAGGACAUGCUCGGGCUCAAUCAAUCCUGCUUCAACAUGGUGGACUCAUGAAAAGCAUAGAGGAUGGGAGCAGCUCACAAGGUCUGAGGGAAGUCUGUGAAGUACGUACAGCAGAUCACCUGAUGCAUCAUGCCAUCCUGUUUUAAUUUGCAUACCUCAAUGGAACUGAACUGAGGUGUGGCAAAGUAUUGACGAGCAGAGUGGGGUUUGUGAUGCCAUGACACUGGAAGCACUGCUUUGGUUGUACUGUCUAUAUCAGGGGUGCCCAACCAGUCGAUCGCGAUCGACCGGUCGAUCGCGGGGAGAUUCCCAGUCGAUCGCGAGAUGUGUCUAAAAAUAGAACAACAAU